rnacentral:sRNA from 1 species
UUGGAACAGCGGAGGGACUGGCUUACCUA